UACAGAGGGGGCGAGCGUUAUUCGGAAUUAUUGGGCGUAAAGGGCGCGUAGGCGGCCUUUCAAGUGACGGGUGAAAUCCCUCGGCUUAACCGAGGAACUGCCUGUCAGACUGGAAGGCUUGAGACCGGGAGAGGUGAGUGGAAUUCCCAGUGUAGCGAUGAGAUGCGUAGAUAUUGGGAGGAACACCAGUGGCGAAGGCGGCUCACUGGACCGGUACUGACGCUGAGGCGCGAAAGCGUGGGGAGCAAACAGG
rnacentral:rRNA from 1 species